UUUUACUCUAAAUGCACUUCACUUGAGGAUUGCAUUCGGCUUAGAAGCUUUCAUGUCUUAUUUUUUGUGGUGUUCGUAUCGGUGGUGAUGGGAAUAUUGGUCAACGGUUGUUUUGGAAAGAAAACGACUUUGAAUCUUGUCUUAAUUUUUGCAUGUAUUAAGGUAGUUUUACAUUAUCACAACAUGACACGUCUCGGAUGCAAAGUGGUUCCUACAAGACAAACAUUAUUUCAAGUUUUCUAUACAUAGUAGGUAUAUAUUGCAUCUGAACCUGCCAGACACGACACCUAUCAUUCAAGACGUUCUGACAUUCUUGAGAAGAAUAUUUUUUCUGACACAGUCUGUGCAGGUGCGUGUCUUAGAUGAGCCCCUCUGAUGGUUUGCAAUAAAUUUAGGCUCUGACAGUCUCUUUUUGACUUACGCAAGCAUAGGAUGACUCCAAAGCGACAAUAAUGAAUAAGCUGCUCAUCUUCAUACAACAAAAGAGCUAUCGCGCACAAUUCUUUGAUUGAAAACCGAAAACUGUCACAACAAACUUUGCCAUGUUGGAACUUGGUCUUGACUAACUUGGUAAAUAUAUGUACUCUGUUGAUUUGUCGGAUCUGCAUCAUUUUGCAUCUGCGACAUGUUAUGUGUGUUAAUGUGAAUUGUCACAGGACACUGUAUAUCCUGGUUCAGCCAGGAGUGCUUUUGGGUAUGGAACCUUGGAUGUGCGGCCUUCGAGGUCCUUGCUGAUGAGAGAGUGUAAUGUAAAAAAAAAA